rnacentral:rRNA from 1 species
GGAAUUUUCCGCAAUGGGCGAAAGCCUGACGGAGCAAUACCGCGUGAGGGAUGACGGCCUAUGGGUUGUAAACCUCUUUUUUCAGGGAGGAAUAAAAUGACGUGUACCUGAGGAAUAAGCAUCGGCUAACUCCGUGCCUGCAGCCGCGGUAAGACGGAGGAUGCAAGCGUUAUCCGGAAUUAUUGGGCGUAAAGCGUUCGUAGGUGGCUGUUCAAGUCUGCCGUUAAAGACCGGGGCUUAACUCCGGAAAAACUGUGGAAACUGAACAGCUAGAGUAUGGUAGGGGUAAGGGGAAUUCCCGGUGUAGCGGUGAAAUGCGUAGAUAUCGGGAAGAACACCGGUGGCGAAGGCGCCUUACUGGGCCAUAACUGACACUGAGGGACGAAAGCUAGGGGAGCG